rnacentral:rRNA from 1 species
GACGAACGCUGGCGGCGUGCUUAACACAUGCAAGUCGAACGGAAAGGCCCUGCUUUUGGGGGUGCUCGAGUGGCGAACGGGUGAGUAACACGUGAGUAACCUGCCCUUGACUUUGGGAUAACUUCAGGGAACUGGGGCUAAUACCGGAUAGGAGCUCCUGCUGCAUGGUGGGGGUUGGAAAGUUUCGGCGGUUGGGGAUGGACUCGCGGCUUAUCAGCUUGUUGGUGGGGUAGUGGCUUACCAAGGCUUUGACGGGUAGCCGGCCUGAGAGGGUGACCGGCCACAUUGGGACUGAGAUACGGCCCAGACUCCUACGGGAGGCAGCAGUGGGGAAUAUUGCACAAUGGGCGGAAGCCUGAUGCAGCAACGCCGCGUGCGGGAUGACGGCCUUCGGGUUGUAAACCGCUUUCGCCUGUGACGAAGCGUGAGUGACGGUAAUGGGUAAAGAAGCACCGGCUAACUACGUG